rnacentral:ribozyme from 13 species
AGAAUGAGACAGUGAAAGAAAAAAAGAGAAGAAUGCAUGGAGGACCCCUUCCGCACUCUCUCUUUCUUUGUCUUUCUCUUCUUCUUUUUCCUUUCUCUUUGUUGUUAUUUCCUUUUGUUUCU